UACGGGGGGAGCAAGCGUUGUUCGGAUUUACUGGGCGUAAAGGGCGCGUAGGCGGCCACCGCAAGUCAGUUGUGAAAUCUCUGGGCUUAACCCAGAACGGUCAGCUGAUACUGCGGGGCUAGAGUGCGGAAGGGGCAACUGGAAUUCUCGGUGUAGCGGUGAAAUGCGUAGAUAUCGAGAGGAACACCUGCGGCGAAGGCGGGUUGCUGGGCUGACACUGACGCUGACAGCGCGAAAGCUAGGGGAGCGAACGGG
rnacentral:rRNA from 1 species